GCUCCGCUCAGCUGUUUCCCUGGCACAUAUAUGUAUAUAUAUAUAUAUAUACACGUUUGCAUAUAUCAGUUCAGAAGUACGCCCGAUAGCAGUAGUAGAAAAUUACGAAAAGUGCAUAGUAGCAGGCGAACGCCACGAAAAGUACUUUUAGUGUCUUCAUGGUUUAUGGUUUCAUUCUUGCUGUUACUUAGAUUAAGAUUCAUGGGUAUUCCCAAUUUUAGACAGGGCCAUGUGUUUUUCAACUGGAGCCGAAGGAAAUUUUUGAAUUGAAUUUCACUGGGCAAACUUUUUUUCAAUUUAAUAUGAGCUUUUUGUUACAAAGUCUGGCAAAAACAACUGACGGAGUAAAACGCGUAUACGCAAUGUUGCCACUAUGGAUGCAGCAUAUCUCAAAAUCUGCCACAUUAUUAGGGUUGUGGC